GGGCUCAUGCUCGAAUGAGUAAGAGUGAGUGUGUGUGUGUGUGUGUGUGUAAGGGCUGGUGGCUAUCAUGCAGGGAAACCUCAUGCUGAACUUCUAUCCAGCUUGGAUUAUCUUCUCUGUAAACUGGUUCUUUUUCUUUAUUAAAUUCCAUUUGUCUUCUGACAAAUGAAGGUAACCAGGGUGGACCAUCAGCAGACCCAGCCCUGAGAUGAAAACUCUGACGUCUCCCAUGUUAGCCAGUGAGGGGCUACACUGUUCAGCUUCUUGUGCCCUUGCCCCACCCCUCUGGCCACUUCCCGGGGCCUCCCCACCUCCCGGUGACCCGGGGACUAAGGAGGUAAUGCCUGGCACCACAGGGCUCUCCGGGACUCCAGGCCAUCAUCCUCCGUGAUACAUGAUUGACUGUCCUUCCCAGGGCCACGGUUGAGGACUGCGAGCCUACCACCCAGAGGCUGUCAUGCGCAGGAGUGGAGGCCCUGUCCCCUUUCGCCCUGACCCAGCCGGGGACUUCUUGUGCAGCUGGUGCUCGUUUUGUCCUCCGCGGAGGGGAAAGGCAAGGAGCACAGCCUGUAGUUCCAGCUCCAGAAGCUCCCAGUGCCCUCUGGCUUCCCCAUCCAGCAAUCUGAGAAGGCCACGCUGUCUGGUGCCUUGGUUUCCUCCUUUUAACAACACGGCCGCGACAGUAUCAAGCAAUGUCUUGUUCAGGACGCCACACAGGCUUCCCAGGAGACCCGACAGAGGAAGAGGCGACGGUGCCCUGGAGGGGCACAGAACGAAGAGGAAAAUAAGAUUCGACUCUCAUGGGCUCCAGCCCUUCCACAGAGGGGAGAGCCAUGAGGAAGGGCCACUUCAGAGUCAGAGAGUUGAGGCCGUGGCCCCACCAUGGUGACAGGAGUGAGCUCCUCUCCUGCUGCUCACCGCGGAGGAUCCAAAGGAGCCUGGAGACAAGGACCACCCAUGGCACCAGCCAGAAAGGGGUGUACUUAGGAAUCAUGGCUAUCUCCUCCCUGUGGAUAGAGACGAUCUUGGUGGGCUCCUCUGACACCCCAGAAAGGAAAAGUGAGACCCAGAAAAGGACUUGGAGAACUUAUGAAGAAAACUGCUAUACGGUGGCCAAGAAUGGACAGCCUGUGGGUUAUCCCCAUGGAGAAGCACGAGCACCGUGGUCUCAGGAGUCUCCAUGCCGACAGGACUGAGGCACACUGUACCUUGCCAGGUCUGUGUCCCCAACUGCACGAGCUGCAAUCCCGGAGUUGUAGGGAGAAUUAAAAGCCUCACUGCCCCCUCUGUGUUGGCCUCAAAUGCCUAGUUAAAUCACUAGGAAAAUUUGGGGUACAUAGCUGCUCAGUAAGUGGCUGAUAUUAUCAUCGUUAUUAACAUAAGGCAGUAAAAUGAAAAGCACCAUCUC